rnacentral:rRNA from 1 species
GACGAACGCUGGCGGCGUGGAUUAGGCAUGCAAGUCGAACGGUAGGAUACCUUCGGGUAUCUGAGAGUGGCGAACGGGUGAGUAACACGUAGGUGAUCUACCCUCAAGAUUGGGACAACCCAGGGAAACUUGGGCUAAUACCGGAUGAAAGCAGCAGUGAUGUUGUUUGAAAGGUGGCGUAAGCUGCCGUUUGGGGAUGAGCCUGCGCUCUAUUAGUUAGUUGGCGGGGUAAAGGCCCACCAAGGCGAUGAUAGAUAGGCGGCCUUAACGGGUGGUCGCCCACACUGGGAUUGAGAUACGGCCCAGACUCCUACGGGAGGCAGCAGUCGAGAAUAGUCUACAAUGGCCGAAAGGCUGAUAGUGCGACGCCGCGUGAACGAAGAAGCCCUUCGGGUGUAAAGUUCUUUUAUAUGUGAGCAGUGCUUCUAUGUGAACAGCAUGGGGAGAGAGAUAUUAGCAUAUGAAUAAGCAACGGCUAACUCCGUGCCAGCAGCCG